rnacentral:tRNA from 2 species
GGGCCCGUAGCUCAGCCGGUUAGAGCGCGUCCCUGAUAAGGACGAGGCCGGUGGUUCGAGUCCACCCGGGCCCACCA